rnacentral:rRNA from 1 species
GACGAACGCUGGCGGCGUGCUUAACACAUGCAAGUCGAACGGAAAGGCCCCUUUGGGGGUACUCGAGUGGCGAACGGGUGAGUAACACGUGAGUAACCUGCCCUUGACUUCGGGAUAACUUCAGGAAACUGGGGCUAAUACCGGAUAGGAAUCCUUGCUGCAUGGUGGGGGUUGGAAAGCUUCGGCGGUUUUGGAUGGACUCGCGGCUUAUCAGCUUGUUGGUGGGGUAGUGGCUUACCAAGGCUUUGACGGGUAGCCGGCCUGAGAGGGCGACCGGCCACAUUGGGACUGAGAUACGGCCCAGGCUCCUACGGGAGGCAGCAGUGGGGAAUAUUGCACAAUGGGCGGAAGCCUGAUGCAGCAACGCCGCGGGCGGGAUGACGGCCUUCGGGUUGUAAACCGCUUUCAGCAGGGGCGAAGCUUGUGGUGACGGUACCUGCAGAAGAAGCACCGGCUAACUACGUG